AAAUUCAACGGGGCUCAAGCUAGCCUCCGAAGCUAUGGGUGUACAGGCCUGCGGGUUCUGUGCGCGGUAGGAGAGCGUUCUAAUUGCGUGAAGCGGCGUCGUAAGGCUCCGUGGAGCGAUUAGAAGUGAGAAUGCCGGCAUGAGUAACGAAAGUGGGGUGAGACUCCCCACCACCGAUUGUCCAAGGUUUCCUGAGUAAAGUUCGUCUGCUCAGGGUUAGUCGGGACCUAAGGCGAGGCCGAAAGGCGUAGCCGAUGUCAACAGGUUGAUAUUCCUGUACCACGUCGUUUCCGUUAUGACCGAUGGGGGGACGGGGAAGGGUAAGGGAUCCCAGGCGAUGGUCGUCCUGGGGCAAGCACGUAGCUAGUCGCUGUAGGGAAAUCCGCAGAGGCGUUCUGACGCGAGGUGCGAUGCCAGCUGGCUUGACCGCCGGCGAGUCCCCAAUCCCAUGCCUCCAAGAAAAGCCUCUAGGCAGGAUUCGCGUGCCCGUACCGAUAACCGACACAGGUGGACAAGUAGAACAUACUGAGGUGAGCGAGCUAACUCUCGUUAAGGAACUCGGCAAAAUCGUCCCGUAACUUCGGGAGAAGGGACGCCCCGGUAGGGUGAACUCCAUACGGAGGGAGCCUGAGGGGGCCGCAGUGAAUUGGUCCAACCGACUGUUUACCAAAAACACAGGCCUCUGCUAAGUCGUAAGACGACGUAUAGGGGCUGACGCCUGCCCGGUGCCGGAAGGUUACGCGGACUUGUUAGCACUUCGGUGCGAAGCAAUGAAGCUAAGCCCCGGUAAACGGCGGCCGUAACUAUAACGGUCCUAAGGUAGCGAAAUUCCUUGUCGGGUAAGUUCCGACCUGCACGAAUGGCGUAACGAGUUGGACGCUGUCUCAACGAGAGGCUCGGUGAAAUUAAAGUCUCGGUGAAGAUGCCGAGUACCCGCAGCUAGACGGAAAGACCCCGUGAACCUUUACUGCAACUUGAUAUUGGAGUCUGGGGUAUCUCGCUCAGGAUAGGUGGGAGACAGUGAACCAGCGGCUUUGGCUGCUGGGGAGUCACCCUUGAGAUACCACCCUUGGUAGUCUGGGCUUCUAACACCGCGCCGUGAUCCGGGCGGUGAACAGUGUCAGGUGGGCAGUUUGACUGGGGCGGUCGCCUCCUAAAGAGUAACGGAGGCGCCCAAAGGUUCCCUCAGCACGGUUGGAAAUCGUGCGUAGAGUGUAAAGGCAACAAGGGAGCUUGACUGCGAGACCGACGGGUCGAGCAGGGACGAAAGUCGGGCUUAGUGAUCCGGCGGUAGCAAGUGGAAGCGCCGUCGCUCAACGGACAAAAGGUACUCCGGGGAUAACAGGCUUAUCGGUUCCAAGAGUCCACAUCGACGAACCGGUUUGGCACCUCGAUGUCGGCUCGUCGCAUCCUGGGGCUG
rnacentral:rRNA from 1 species